rnacentral:rRNA from 1 species
GACGAACGCUGGCGGCGUGCUUAACACAUGCAAGUCGAACGGUGAAGCGCCUUCCUUUUUGGUGGGUGUGGAUGAGUGGCGAACGGGUGAGUAACACGUGAGUAACCUGCCCCCUUCUUCUGGAUAACCGCAUGAAAGUGUGGCUAAUACGGGAUAUUCUGGGUCUGUCGCAUGAUGGGUCUGGGAAAGAUAUUGUUUCGGUGGGGGAUGGGCUCGCGGCCUAUCAGCUUGUUGGUGGGGUGAUGGCCUACCAAGGCGGUGACGGGUAGCCGGCCUGAGAGGGUGGACGGUCACACUGGGGCUGCGACACGGCCCCGACUCCUACGGGAGGCAGCAGUGGGGAUUAUUGCACAAUGGGCGCAAGCCUGAUGCAGCGCCGCCGCGUGAGGGAUGGAGGCCUUCGGGUUGUGAACCUCUUUCGCCAGUGAAGCAGGCCUGCCUCGUUUGUGGGUGGGUUGACGGUAGCUGGAUAAGAAGCGCCGGCUAACUACGUG